UGGGGAAUAUUGCACAAUGGGGGAAACCCUGAUGCAGCGACGCCGCGUGAGCGAAGAAGGUUUUCGAAUCGUAAAGCUCUGUCCUAUGAGAAGAUAAUGACGGUAUCAUAGGAGGAAGCCCCGGCUAAAUACGUGCCAGCAGCCGCGGUAAUACGUAUGGGGCGAGCGUUGUCCGGAAUUAUUGGGCGUAAAGCGCGCGCAGGUGGUUUAGAAAGUCUGAUGUGAAAGCCCACGGCUCAACCGUGGAGGGUCAUUGGAAACUAAUAAACUUGAGUGCAGGAGAGAAAAGUGGAAUUCCUAGUGUAGCGGUGAAAUGCGUAGAGAUUAGGAGGAACACCGGUGGCGAAAGCGGCUUUUUGGCCUGCAACUGACACUGAGGGGCGAGAGCGUGGGGAGCGAACAGG
rnacentral:rRNA from 1 species